rnacentral:rRNA from 1 species
GAUGAACGCUGGCGGCGUGCCUAAUACAUGCAAGUCGAGCGAACAGACGAGGAGCUUGCUCCUCUGACGUUAGCGGCGGACGGGUGAGUAACUCGUGGAUAACCUACCUAUAAGACUGGGAUAACUUCGGGAAACCGGAGCUAAUACCGGAUAAUAUAUUGAACCGCAUGGUUCAAUAGUGAAAGACGGUUUUGCUGUCACUUAUAGAUGGAUCCGCGCCGCAUUAGCUAGUUGGUAAGGUAACGGCUUACCAAGGCAACGAUGCGUAGCCGACCUGAGAGGGUGAUCGGCCACACUGGAACUGAGAGACGGUCCAGACUCCUACGGGAGGCAGCAGUAGGGAAUCUUCCGCAAUGGGCGGAAGCCUGACGGAGCAACGCCGCGUGAGUGAUGAAGGUCUUCGGAUCGUAAAACUCUGUUAUUAGGGAAGAACAAAUGUGUAAGUAACUAUGCACGUCUUGACGGUACCUAAUCAGAAAGCCACGGCUAACUAAGUG